CGCCCGUCGCUCCUACCGAUUGAGUGUGCUGGUGAAGUGUUCGGAUUGGCAGCUCGAUCGCGGUUCUCCGCGACCAGCAGCCGAGAAGUUCAUUAAACCCUCCCACUUAGAGGAAGGAGAAGUCGUAACAAGGUUUCC
rnacentral:rRNA from 1 species